rnacentral:sRNA from 1 species
GCCGGGCAUGGUGGCGCACGUCUGUGAUCUCAGUGGCUCAGGAGGCUGAGGCAGGAGAAUCGAGAGUUCAAAGCAAUCAUCAGCAACUUAGUGAGGCCUUGAGCAACUUAGCAAGACCCUGUCUCAA